UUAAAGAAACAAAUGCUGCCCUUGAA
rnacentral:piRNA from 1 species